GACGAACGCUAGCAGCGUGCCUAACACAUGCAAGUCGAGCGGGGCCAGGCGGGGAGUAAUCUCUGCCUGGUCUAGCGGCGAACGGGUGCGUAACACGUGAGCAACCUACCCCGGCGUCCGGGAUACCCCUUCGAAAGGAGGGUUAAUACCGGAUACCGUCGCGACGGCGCCUGCCGUUGCGAGCAAAGGAGCAAUUCGCGCGGGGAGGGGCUCGCGGCCUAUCAGCCAGUCGGUGGGGUAACGGCCUACCGAGGCGACGACGGGUAACCGGCCUGAGAGGGUGGCCGGUCACACUGGGACUGCGACACGGCCCAGACUCCUACGGGAGGCAGCAGUGGGGAAUCUUGCGCAAUGGGGGAAACCCUGACGCAGCGACGCCGCGUGGGCGAAGAAGGCCUUCGGGUUGUAAAGCCCUGUUGGUAGGAAAGAAAACUGACGGUACCUACUGAGGAAGCCCCGGCUAACUCCGUGCCAGCAGCCGCCGUAAGAC
rnacentral:rRNA from 1 species